rnacentral:lncRNA from 1 species
AAUAUUUGUGACUAACCAAUUAUUUUUCCUCACACAAAGCAGAUAGAAAAUCUUUUUCUCAAAGCACAUUUAUCUCAACUUCUCUCUCUCUUACUUGGCUCCAUAUCUCAACUUCUCUCUCUUACUUGGCAUGAAAUCAAUAGUGUAAACAAAGACGGCACCAUGCCAUUUUAGCAUGUGUCAACCUCAUUAAUCCAAUGCCAACUAUAUAAAAUAAAUCCAAACCCAAAAUAAAAAUAUCUCAAAUACCAACACAACA